ACCCUCUUCAAGAUUGUGUUGCAGUUUUAUCUGAAAAAUAUGACUGUCAUGAUGAUUCAGUUAACUCAUUAAACCUGAAUACAUCACAAAUAACAUUUUUAUCUUUAUGUUAUAUUGGAUUUUUACAUAAUGAAAAUGUUGUAUGUAUGAAAACAUUGCUAAAUUUGAAUCUGGACUGAAUGAAGUUAAUGGAUUAUUGUGGGAGCAAAUUUCUAAAAUUCCUCAUUCGUUAGAAAUUUAUACUCAUCAUAAAAUCAUGCUGUGGUGGUGUUUCAAAAAUCAACCUUUAAAUGAACUAAGUAUUUAUACGCUUCAGACUUGGUUGGAUUUUAGUGUUCUCCAUGAAAAUGCAAUGCUUUCCUCUCUCUCAAUGAAAACAGUUCUGCAACUUUUGUGCUUCAAUGAUACAGCUCGAGAAUGUUUCAUGAGACAAUUCAAUGUUAAACCUGAAGCUAGUUUUUCCUUUUUGAAAAAAGCUCUUCAGCUAGAGGUAAAAGAAAUUGAUAUAAGUACUGAGAAAUUUGAAGAAUUUAUAAGUUUUAUUAUGCAGCAUCUGGCAACUUCUAUUACAAAGCUCUUAGUUGUGAAAAACAAGUCGGAAAGAAAAUCUUAUGGAUCUACAAGAUAUCUGAGUGCAACAAUUCAAAAUGAAAUGAUUGAGAGCUUGGGGACUAAACUCGAAACCCAUCUACUAGAACAAAUUAGAGGGUCACCGUUUUUUGCCAUCAUAAUGGAUACGACACAGGACAUAUCGAAGGUAGAUCAGCUGAGCAUUGUUGUGAGGUUUUUGAAAAUUGGAUUGGAAUGUCUUGUUUGGAACAAUGAAAAUAACUAUUCAAUUAGUCCUGAUUUAAAAAUAAAACUAACAUUUCAUGUAAUGAAUUUUUGCUGUAAAGAGAGCUUAGAAAGUACUUCCCAUUUGAAUGUUUGCUUAAAGUUUCUGCGAUUAUCAGUAACAGAUGCUGAAGUUGGUUCUAAAGCCUGGCAUAUUAUUACAGGAAAUGUGAACAUUCCAGCUUUUUUUGUGAAGUGCCUUUUUUCAAACAACCAACCAGAAGUUGAAGCUCUUCAUUUAAUUUUGGUUAUUUUAAAACUUGAAUUUCAAGCAAAUUUAAAAUGUUCUACACACGUUACUUUAUCUUUAACUCACAUUUUAAAAUGGAUGAAUAAUUCAAGUAUGAAAUUGCUUAGUUUGGAAAUAAUAUAUCAGCUACUAUUGAUGGACUUAAAAUCUCACUUCGUCAAACUUGCUUCAACUGAAAUAUUAUCAACAAAGUUUUCUUUACAAAGAAAUGAUUUCAGAUUGUUAGCAUUCUCCAUUGAAAAUGCUUUAAUGCUGGGUAAUCCAAUGAUUGAUAAUGUUGCUUUGUCAAGUUAUACUAAGCUGAUUGAGUUUAUUGAGAAAACUGAUCCCUCUCUUGUGCUACAGUUUGAAUGAAGAAAAUCUUACUCUGAUUACGAUUUUUCAACAGUUUGCUGAAAGAAUACCGAGCAUUUAUCAAGAAUUAAAUAAGCAAAAAACUAAAAGUAUCGAAAAGCUAUACAAUGGUGUCUAUAAAAAAUACAUUCCUACCGAUCUUAAACAGGAACUAAGAAGAAUUGUAAAUACUGCUGAUGACUCCAAUUCUCAAUCUAUUCCAGAAAAACCCAUUGACAUUGUUUCACAAGUUGAGAGUAUUG
rnacentral:misc_RNA from 1 species